GCUACAUUUUGCGACCAAUUAUGGAAGGAAAACUCCAUCCUGAAUAUCCGCACAAACGACCUCAAUGAACCCCACAGAAUGAGAGGAAACACACACACGAAUACGAAUACGAAUACGUGCAGGAAAAAGAGAGUGAAAACUUGUUCGUGCCAACAAAAUUCUGUAUAAAUUCGUGGGGCAUGCCACAACGCAGCAGCAUGCGCAGGGGGAGCAGGGGAGCGGGGAAUGUGCCAAACACACCACCUGGCGGAGGAAGAGCAGGGAAAAACACACGUAACACAAAUGAGCGUCAUCAAUCAAGUGAAAAAGGGAGAAAAGGGCGUGAGCAAGUGGCAAGGCAAAAACUCACUCAAGGAUAAAGGAUAAACACAGAGCUAACUUAAUUCCGGCAUCCAGGAAGUGUAAGUGGCGUGCUGCUGAUUUUUCCCCACUGAUAUUCGCAACAGCAAAAAAAGGCACAGCUGCCGCUGCUGCACAACUUUCUUUAAUAAGAACUUUUCCGCGCUCUCUACCUCUCCACCUCUCUCUCUUUCUACCAAACAAAUCUGG